AUUGAACGCUGGCGGCAGGCCUAACACAUGCAAGUCGAACGCGUGGCGGACGGGUGAGUAAUGUCUGGGAAACUGCCUGAUGGAGGGGGAUCACUACUGGAAACUGUAGCUAAUACCGCAUACCCUCAUAUGUGCCCAUAGGGGAUUAUCUAGUAGGUGGGGUAAUGGCUCACCGAGGCGACGCUCCCUAGCUGGUCUGAGAGGAUGAACAGCCACAUGGGGACUGAGACACGGUCCAGAACCCGACGGGAGGCAUCAGUGGGGAAUAUUGCACAAGGGGCGCAAGCCUGAUGCAGCCAUGCCGCGUGUGUGAAGAAGGCCUUCGGGUUGUAAAGCACUUUCAGCGAGGAGGCGUUACUGACAGAAGAAGCACCGGCUAACUCCGGGCCAGCAGCCGCGGUAAUUC
rnacentral:rRNA from 1 species